UCAAAUGCAAGGUAGCGCAACCAGCGAGAAAGAGAUCGGUAUCACUCAUGAGAUUCGAGGGCACUGUUUGAUCAAAUGCAAGGUAGCGCAACCAGCGAGAAAGAGAUCGGUAUCACUCAUGAGAUUCGAGGGCACUGUUUGAUCAAAUGCAAGGUAGCGCAACCAGCGAGAAAGAGAUCGGUAUCACUCAUGAGAUUCGAGGGCACUGUUUGAUCAAAUGCAAGGUAGCGCAACCAGCGAGAAAGAGAUCGGUAUCACUCAUGAGAUUCGAGGGCACUGUUUGAUCAAAUGCAAGGCCUGAGAUUGAGGCAUUUUACUUGGAAUUAAUCUUCUCCUGUCCAAUCUUGGGAUUAAUCUAGACAAGGAUGCUGCUGUCCAUAGCAUUUCAAUGCACCAUGUUAACCCAUAAAAGGUAUCCUAAGUC